rnacentral:rRNA from 1 species
GACGAACGCUGGCGGCGUGCUUAACACAUGCAAGUCGAACGGAAAGGCCCUGCUUUUGUGGGGUGCUCGAGUGGCGAACGGGUGAGUAACACGUGAGUAACCUGCCCUUGACUUUGGGAUAACUUCAGGAAACUGGGGCUAAUACCGGAUAGGAGCUCCUGCUGCAUGGUGGGGGUUGGAAAGUUUCGGCGGUUGGGGAUGGACUCGCGGCUUAUCAGCUUGUUGGCGGGGUAGUGGCUUACCAAGGCUUUGACGGGUAGCCGGCCUGAGAGGGUGACCGGCCACAUUGGGACUGAGAUACGGCCCAGACUCCUACGGGAGGGAGCAGUGGGGAAUAUUGCACAAUGGGCGGAAGCCUGAUGCAGCAACGCCGCGGGCGGGAGGACGGCCUUCGGGUUGGAAACCGCUUUCGCCUGUGACGAAGCGUGAGUGACGGUAAGGGGUAAAGAAGCACCGGCUAACUACGUGC